CAGUAGCCGCGGGAAUACGAAGGGGGCCAGCGUUGCUCGGAAUUACUGGGCGUAAAGGGAGCGUAGGCGGGUCGUUUAGUCAGAGGUGAAAUCCCGGGGCUCAACCUCGGAACUGCCUUUGAUACUGGCGACCUUGAGUAUGGGAGAGGUGAGUGGAACUCCGAGUGUAGAGGUGAAAUUCGUAGAUAUUCGGAAGAACACCAGUGGCGAAAGCGACUCACUGGCCCAUUACUGACGCUGAGGCUCGAAAGCGUGGGGAGCAAACAGGAUUAGAUACCCCUGUAGUCCCUGUCUCUUAUAC
rnacentral:rRNA from 1 species